rnacentral:rRNA from 1 species
GGCUCAGGACGAACGCUGGCGGCGUGCUUAACACAUGCAAGUCGAACGGUGAAGCCCUUCGGGGUGGAUCAGUGGCGAACGGGUGAGUAACACGUGGGCAAUCUGCCCUGCACUCUGGGACAAGCCCUGGAAACGGGGUCUAAUACCGGAUACGACCCGGGACCGCAUGGUCUCGGGUGGAAAGCUCCGGCGGUGCAGGAUGAGCCCGCGGCCUAUCAGCUUGUUGGUGGGGUAAUGGCCUACCAAGGCGACGACGGGUAGCCGGCCUGAGAGGGCGACCGGCCACACUGGGACUGAGACACGGCCCAGACUCCUACGGGAGGCAGCAGUGGGGAAUAUUGCACAAUGGGCGCAAGCCUGAUGCAGCGACGCCGCGUGAGGGAUGACGGCCUUCGGGUUGUAAACCUCUUUCAGCAGGGAAGAAGCGCAAGUGACGGUACCUGCAGAAGAAGCACCGGCUAACUACGUGCCAGCAGCCGCGGUAAUACGUAGGGUGCGAGCGUUGUCCGGAAUUAUUGGGCGUAAAGAGCCCGUAGGCGGCCUGUCGCGUCGGAUGUGAAAGCCCGGGGCUUAACCCCGGGUCUGCAUUCGAUACGGGCAGGCUAGAGUGUGGUAGGGGAGAUCGGAAUUCCUGGUGUAGCGGUGAAAUGCGCAGAUAUCAGGAGGAACACCGGUGGCGAAGGCGGAUCUCUGGGCCAUUACUGACGCUGAGGAGCGAAAGCGUGGGGAGCGAACAGGAUUAGAUACCCUGGUAGUCCACGCCGUAAACGUUGGGAACUAGGUGUUGGCGACAUUCCACGUCGUCGGUGCCGCAGCUAACGCAUUAAGUUCCCCGCCUGGGGAGUACGGCCGCAAG